UGGAAUUUGAGUUUCCCAAUGCAAAAAAAAAAAAGGAAGAAAAAAAGUACCUGUUUCACAUCCGCAUUGCAAAGGAGAACAAAUCAGAUUCUUCUCGCAAAAUACCCAAAGGAUUUGCCAUUUUUCCUCUGCAUUUCUUUGUCUGUAUUUUGCAAUUGCUUCCCCAAAAGCGAGAUCCUCCUUUUUCCUGCUUCUAUAUAUAUAUUCUCACAAACCUCUGCAAUCAAAUCAAAUUCGCUCUCUCUCUCUCUCUCUCUCUCUCUCUCUCUCUCUCUCUCUCUCUCACACACACACACACACACACACACACACUUUCUCUCUCUAGAAAUGGGGAUGGUAGGAAGUAUAGGGCGGUGGAUAGAGAAGUUUGGGAAGAAACAGUGCAGGAGCUUAUACUGGAGAAUAAGAGCAGCAACGAAGAAGAAGAGCAAAGGAAGCAAACGGCGCGUCAAGAUAUUCCAGUACGAUGCGUACAGCUACGCGCUCAAUUUUGACGAUGGAUUGGGUAUUCACGAACAAGUGGGACCCACUGAUGCGGAUUACCGCCAUCAUCGUCGCCAACCUAAAUUUCCAGAAUUCACCAUUUGGGUUUGUGUUGUUUUGCCCAAAUGAUAGCAAUUAUCAGCCUAAUUUCCUAUUUAUCAGUAAUAUUUAGUUAUUUACUACUACUGUACGCUGUCGUUUUGUUUAUUUUCAAGAGUUUAUUUGCACAUGUUCGAAAAUAUCAAUUUUAAUUAAAAGAUGCUGCAGAAAUACUUUUGAAAUUACAACUUUCUUUUAAUUACGAA
rnacentral:lncRNA from 1 species